UCCGGUAGGGCUUCCCCGAGCGGGGGCCGUCCGGUCGCACGCAGCGCCGUCGCACCCGACGCAUUUGUCUCUCGCCCGAAGGACGCCGCAGCCGGCUGGGUAGUGCAAGCGCGACGACCUGAGGGGCGGAAGAUGGCAGGUGGCCGCUGGCGCGCCUCGUGCGCGUCGGCGGUUGUUAGCCGUUCCGUCGGUGGUCCGUCACCCGGCCGAGGUGUCGCGAGGCCCUUCGGGGCCUCAUCGCCUCCUCCUCGGAGACGCGGGUCAGAGUGUCGCAGGUGGAACCCGUAGUCCCGUUCGCACCCCUCCGGGGUGGUCGGGCGAACGGAGGCCUCCGCUGGUGGCGCCGGACCCGUUGGAGGUUGGAGGCUUGCGGCGAGUACGUCGGUCACCCACCCGACCCGUCUUGAAACACGGACCAANNNNNNNNNNNNNNNNNNNNNNNNNNNNNNNNNNNNNNAAUGGGUGAGAAGUCCGCCUUGCUCGAUCGAAGGCCGGACGUUCCGGAUGAGAGUGCCCAGUGGGCCACUUUUGGUAAGCAGAACUGGCGCUGUGGGAUGAACCAAACGCCGGGUUACGGCGCCCGAUGCGAGACGCUCAUGAGACCCCAUGAAAGGUGUUGGUUGCUCCAGACAGCAGGACGGUGGUCAUGGAAGUCGAAAUCCGCUAAGGAGUGUGUAACAACUCACCUGCCGAAGCAACUAGCCCUGAAAAUGGAUGGCGCUCCAGCGUCGAGCCCAUACCCGGCCGCCGCGGCAGAGCUCCGUCACGGAGGUUUACGCCGCGGUGAGUAGGAGGGUCGCGGCGGGGAGCGUUGAAGGUGCCGGGCGUGAGCCCGCCUGGAGCCCCCGUCGGUGCAGAUCUUGGUGGUAGUAGCAAAUACUCAAGUGAGAACCUUGAGGACUGAAGUUGGAGAAGGGUUCCAUGUGAACAGCAGUUGAACAUGGGUCAGUCGGCCCUAAGGGAUCGGAGAAAUCCGUUCCGAAGCGGGACCUUACACUCCGUAGAGCAGUCCCGCUGCCGACCGAAAGGGAAUGGGGUCAAUAUUCCCCAACCCGGACACGGAGAUAGGGCUCUCGGGCCCAAGUGCGGUAACGCAACCGAACUCGGAGAAGUCGACGGAGGACCCGGGGAAGAGUUGUCUUUUCUUUGUAAGGGUUCGUGUCCCUGGAAUCGGCUCGUCCGGAGAUAGGGACGCUGUCCCCGUAAAAGCACCGCGGCUCUUGCGGUGUCCGGUCCGCCUCUGUCGGCCCUUGCAAAUCCGAGGGAGAUGGUGUGAU
rnacentral:rRNA from 1 species